rnacentral:rRNA from 1 species
UACGAAGGGGGCUAGCGUUACUCGGAAUUACUGGGCGUAAAGGGCGCGUAGGCGGCUUUGUUAGUCGGGUGUGAAAUGCCUGGGCUUAACCCAGGAACUGCACUCGAAACUCCAAGGCUUGAGUGUGGGAGAGGUUGGUGGAAUUCCCAGUGUAGAGGUGAAAUUCGUAGAUAUUGGGAAGAACACCGGUGGCGAAGGCGGCCAACUGGACCACAACUGACGCUGAGGCGCGAAAGCGUGGGGAGCAAACAGG